AAACACUACGACCCAGAAAAGUCUCAAAUUGUUAUACCAGAUAGAGGCAAAAUACCAGUAGAUGUAGAAAGUGUUAGGAGGACAUGGGGUUUGCCCAACAGUGGCAGGAAAGUAUGUUUUGAAAUGAAUCCAUAUGUUAUAAGGGUAUUCAAUAGUAUUUUCAAGAUCGACGGAAAAAAUGCCCCUACAUUGACUUCAUGGUGUAAAAUGAUUGUGAAGAUGAAUGGGGCGUGCGAUGACAAUUUCCUCCGUGCUUGGUUGGCUGUGGCAUUCUCCUGCUUCCUUGCCCCAACCACAAGCUUGAGCAUCUCACCAAGGUGUUACACUGCUAUUCUUCACACAAGUGCUAUACAAGACACCAAGAUAUGCGACUUCGUUAUUGAUCAACUAAGAUUGGCAUUCAUGGGUUUUGGUGAGAAGAAGAAGGUUGUUUGCUGCUGUGUUUUCAAUCUAGUUGUAAGUACGAGGAAACUCAUUUCUAAUAUGUUUUCUUUUUCCAUGGUUUUUCCUUUCCAAUGCAAGCAUGAAAGAGCCAUGUGUUUCCUAAUAGUUUUUGCAAUUUAG
rnacentral:rRNA from 1 species